rnacentral:rRNA from 1 species
GACGAACGCUGGCGGCGUGCCUAACACAUGCAAGUCGAACGAGAAUCACAUAACGGAUUCCUUCGGGGAGAAGAUAUGAGAGGAAAGUGGCGGACGGGUGAGUAACGCGUGGAUAACCUGCCUCAUACAGGGGGAUAACAGCCGGAAACGGCUGCUAAUACCGCAUAAGCGCACGGUACCGCAUGGUACAGUGUGAAAAACUCCGGUGGUAUGGGAUGGAUCCGCGUCUGAUUAGCCAGUUGGCGGGGUAACGGCCCACCAAGGCGACGAUCAGUAGCCGGACUGAGAGGUUGAACGGCCACAUUGGGACUGAGAUACGGCCCAGACUCCUACGGGAGGCAGCAGUGGGGAAUAUUGGGCAAUGGGGGAAACCCUGACCCAGCAACGCCGCGUGAAGGAAGAAGGCUUUCGGGUUGUAAACUCUUUUACCAGGGACGAAGGACGUGACGGUACCUGGAGAAAAAGCCACGGCUAACUACGUG